rnacentral:rRNA from 1 species
AGAGUUUGAUCCUGGCUCAGGAUGAACGCUGGCGGCAUGCCUAAUACAUGCAAGUCGAACGAAGUCUCUAGGAAGCUUGCUUCCAAAGAGACUUAGUGGCGAACGGGUGAGUAACACGUAGGUAACCUGCCCAUGUGUCUGGGAUAACUGCUGGAAACGGUAGCUAAAACCGGAUAGGUAUACGGAGCGCAUGCUCGGUAUAUUAAAGCACCCUUCAAGGUGUGAACAUGGAUGGACCUGCGGCGCAUUAGCUAGUUGGUGAGGUAACGGCCCACCAAGGCGAUGAUGCGUAGCCGGCCUGAGAGGGUAGACGGCCACAUUGGGACUGAGACACGGCCCAAACUCCUACGGGAGGCAGCAGUAGGGAAUUUUCGUCAAUGGGGGGAACCCUGAACGAGCAAUGCCGCGUGAGUGAAGAAGGUCUUCGGAUCGUAAAGCUCUGUUGUAAGUGAAGAACGGCUCAUAGAGGAAAUGCUAUGGGAGUGACGGUAGCUUACCAGAAAGCCACGGCUAACUACGUGCCAGCAGCCGCGGUAAUACGUAGGUGGCAAGCGUUAUCCGGAAUCAUUGGGCGUAAAGGGUGCGUAGGUGGCGUACUAAGUCUGUAGUAAAAGGCAAUGGCUCAACCAUUGUAAGCUAUGGAAACUGGUAGGCUAGAGUGCAGAAGAGGGCGAUGGAAUUCCAUGUGUAGCGGUAAAAUGCGUAGAUAUAUGGAGGAACACCAGUGGCGAAGGCGGUCGCCUGGUCUGUAACUGACACUGAGGCACGAAAGCGUGGGGAGCAAAUAGGAUUAGAUACCCUAGUAGUCCACGCCGUAAACGAUGAGAACUAAGUGUUGGAGGAAUUCAGUGCUGCAGUUAACGCAAUAAGUUCUCCGCCUGGGGAGUAUGCACGCAAGU